CCCUAUGGACUGUAGCCCCCCAGACUCCUCUGUCCAUGGGAUUCUCCAGGCAAGGAUCCUGAAGUGGGUUUCCAUGCCCUCCUCCAGGGAACUAAGACCAUCUUACAAGCCUGGAAGUGCAGCCAAAUAAAGAAAUAAUGCUUCUAAAGAAUGUUUUAUAAUUAUUAUAUAAAUAAUAAUAAUCAAUCAGCUGAAUGACCGACCUCAGGCUAUCUAAGGGAAAAGCAGAAACCAGUGGAAGGAAGUCACGCUGAUGAUCUAUUUCUAAACACCUCCCCGUUGGUGACUCAGCACAGACAUCUCUUCAGCAAGCCCCAACUCCAUGGGCUAGCACAGGGAGUGGGCUUCUCCUGUUGUGACUCAGAAGUUUCAGCAUGAGGACUUACUGCUCCAAGGCAUGGGGGAAUCUUAGUUCCCAACCAGGGAUCAAACCCAGGUCUCCUGCAUUGGAAGAUGGGUUCUUAACAGUGGACCACCAGGGAAGUCCCUCUGCAGUGGCCGAGAUGGCGCUUUUCCUGAAGGUCCAACUGCCACGCUUUCCCCUGACUGCCUGGGGCAGUGCCUGGACCAGAGGAAGGCCGCUGUAUUCGCGCAAUGAAUGGUCAUACAGAAAAAGUCAGCUUCAAAAAUAUGGCUCUUUACCUUCUGCCCACUAGGACGGCUAUAAUUUAAAAGAAAUACACAGGAGGACCUCCCUGGUGGCCCAGUGGUUUAGACUUCGUUUAAACCACCACUUAAACAACCAAUGAAACGGGCGCAGGUUCAAUCCUGGGUCAGGGAGUUAAGCUCCUACAUGCCCUGUGGCCAAAAAACUCAAAGAUAAAACAGAAGCAGUAUUAUAACAAAUUC
ensembl:lncRNA